CGGAACGGAGCGGGGUGCCCGCAGAGCACAGGCCUCUGACAGGCCGACGGCUGAGCCCGCAGAAAAUACGUCUUGUCGUCCUGCCCCCCGGAUCAGGGACCGGGAGCGCUCCCCCGGCGUCACCGCAAACCCCCAGGUAUCGCCGGCACAAAGGCAAUCUGGUGAGCGUACGUCCUGACCCACAUGCUGAUGGGGAGUCGUGGUGAGGAACACAUCACCAUUACUGCAGUGCACCUGCAGCUCCUGGGGUGCGAAGCCAAAACUGCUGCAGGGCUCGGAAGAGAGAGCGCCCCAGGACCUCGAUUCUGCAGAUAACCCACAUCGCAUCGCUCAGCGUUACCACGGAAACGCGGCAAGGGCUCCGAGGUUUCUGAAAAGCAAAUACCGGAGGCACAGACUGCAUAGGAAUUGAUUGCAAGAGACACCAUGGGCUUCCCACAGCAGCGAGCUAUGGGGCGACAGCCACGUCCCUCUCUGGGGUGACUUGAGGGCUGUCGGGUUUGUCUGCCAUCAGAGUGGGCUGGGGACAACCAUCAAACCAUCACCCCAUCCCCUGCCGCCUGCCUUGCCUCCUCUGCUGCACUUUGCCUCCUCUGAGGUAUGGAGAGCUGCUGAAUUUGAGGACCAGCUUUAUAGAACCUCCCACGCUGCUCACACAGCCCCAGUGUCAGGAUGGAUUUGGUUUGAAUUCAGAUGCUGUGGGUCUCCGCCACUUGCAAAGGGUCUGGCUCCCGCUGUAAUCUCCCCUGCUUUGGCAGAGACGGUGGCACGGAGCCGUAGGAGGCAGCCGGCAGCUCCCGGUGAAAGCAAAACAUGUUUUGAUGAGAGGAAAAACUGCAAGGGUGCAAGAGAGCCCGGCACGUGCAUCUGCCGGCACAGCUGCCCCGCUCUGCCCACAUCCCGUGUCUCUGCAGACUUCACGCAGGCUUACGGUGCUGAGGAACUGCUCCAGGGCUGGGUUAUAUGGGUGACGGGCAUGCGGGGUAUUUUUAGGUAUGAUAAUUUAUGCAUGUUAUUGUUUCUGCGUUUACAGCUAGCUGUUCAAAUGUUGAAGAACUUCCUGGUAUCUGAACAGGCUGAUUUUUCCUUUCUUGCAAAGGCAGCAGAUGGAAGGAAACAAACACUUUUUCUGCAGAAGAAGUUGAAGUUUAACCGAGGCGUUCUAACAAGCACAGCGUUUUCUUUUUCUCUGGGUUGAAGUGAUUAGAGUCAACAGUGCUCAGAGACCAGGCCUUUUGCUACUGGGAACUGCUUGGGAGCACUGGGAUUUUUUUCCUACAAAUAGCAACAAUUAAAAAAUUAUCUCCGUAAAGGACCCUCUCUCCAAAUCCUGUAAUUAAAGAGUCUUUUUAAUAUCCACCAUCUGUCACCUCUUCCUGCUCCAGCAUGUUCCACUUACCUUUCUCACCCAUAUUUAUAAGAAGUGAGAGAAACAAGAUUCCACGUUGGAUAGGUCUGGAGGGGAGCUGCUCUUUUCUGCAAGCCCCACUCACUGCAGCACCCAAAGGCCAGUUAGGAGUUUGCUGGGAGGUCACAGCGAGCUGAUGUGCUCGGGUGGUGCAUGAGCAGGCGGCUC